rnacentral:rRNA from 1 species
AGGUUAAGUUAAUAAGGGCGCAUGGUGGAUGCCUUGGCACUAGAAGGCGAUGAAGGACGUGACUAACUACGAUAUGCCUCGGUUAGCUGUAAGUAAGCUUACCCGGGGGUUUCCGAAUGGGGCAACCCGAUCUUAAUGAUCAUCAUCUUUUUGAAUUCAUAGAUUAGAUGAAGCAAACGCUGUGAACUGAAACAUCUAAGUAGCAGUAGGAAAGUAAAGAAAUUUCGAUUCCGUCAGUAGCGGCGAGCGAACGCGGAAGAGCCCAAACCUGGAUGCUUGCAUCCAGGGGUUGUAGGACUGAUGUUGAGUUACAAAGGUAUAAGAUAGCAGAAACAGUUGGGAAGCUGUUCCAAAGAGGGUGACAGGCCCGUAUGCGAAAUCUUGUACUCUCUAAUCAGGAUCCUGAGUACGGCCCAGCACGUGAAAUUGGGUCGGAAUCUGGGAGGACCAUCUCCCAAGGCUAAAUACUAACUAGUGACCGAUAGCGAACAAGUACCGUGAGGGAAAGGUGAAAAGAACCCCGGAAGGGGAGUGAAAUAGUUCUUGAAACCGUGUGCUUACAAGAAGUUCGAGGCCGUUAAUGGCUGAGAGCGUGCUUUUUGUAGAAUGAACCGGAGAGUUACGAUUGCGUGCAAGGUUAAGGUGCAAAGACUGGAGCCGUAGCGAAAGCGAGUCUUAAUAGGGCGAAUCAGUACGUAGUUGUAGACCCGAAACCGAGUGACCUAUCCAUGGUCAGGUUGAAGGUGGGGUAAUACCUACUGGAGGACCGAACAAGUGGGUGUUAAAAAACCCUUUGAUGAACUGUGGAUAGCGGUGAAAUUCCAAUCGAACUCGGAGAUAGCUGGUUCUAUCCGAAAUACAUUUAGGUGUAGCCUUGCAAUUAGCUUACUGGAGGUAGAGCACUAUUUGGUCUAGGGGCCCUUCAAGGGUUACCAAAAUCAGAUAAACUCCGAAUGCCAGCUAAGUAUGUGCAGGAGUCAGACGGUGAGUGAUAAGAUCCAUCGUCAAAAGGGGAACAGCCCAGAUCACCAGUUAAGGUCCCUAAAUAUAUGCUAAGUGGAAAACGUUGUGAAGGUGCAUAGACAACUAGGAGGUUGGCUCAGAAGCAGCCACCCUUUAAAGAGUGCGUAAUAGCUCACUAGUCAAGUGCUCUUGCGCGGAUAAUGUACCGGGGCUAAGCAUAUUACCGAAACUGUGGAUGCGUAAGCAUGGUAGGAUAGCGUAAUUAACGCGAUGAAGGAUGACCGUAAGGACAUGUUGGAGCGUUAACUAGUGAGAAUUCCGGUAUGAGUAGCGAAAGAUAGGUGAGAAUCCUAUCCACCGAAUGAGUAAGGUUUCCCCCGGAAGGCUCGUCCGCGGGGGGUUAGUCGGGACCUAAGGCGAGGCUGAAAAGCGUAGUCGAUGGACAACAGGUUGAUAUUCCUGUACCGAUAUUUAAUUGCCGAAGGAAGGACGCAGAAGGAUAACACAGGCCACUAUUGGAUGUGGUUUUAAACAGUUAGUCUUCAUA